ensembl:lncRNA
CAGACAAAGUUCCAGCAAAAGAGUUCCAGCAAAGUGUUAACUCCUUUGUGCCCAGGGCAGAGAGUAGUGGCUCUUCUAAUACCUACUGAACCUGUUAUAAGCCCUCCAGAGGGUAGAUGCGCAUAUACCACAGAUCAAAAAUUCAAACGCCCUGCCUUCUCUGCAGCCAGAACCAAGCACAGCUUGCAGAUGGGUAUUCUGGGAGUUGAGCCUCCCAAACUCAUUCCCACCAGGAACAGCCAUCCAGCUCCUACACCAGGAACAGAGGAGGUGGGAGGUUAGUGUGGCGGAGAGCAGAGGAGGCAGCCUGUGUAUGGCCAGAGGGGAACGAGAUCAGCUCCACUGGGAACGAAGGGAUCAGACGCAUAUCCCCUGCAUUGGAUGACAAAUUCUUAACUGGUUCAUCAGAGAAGUCCAGCCCUGUGCUUAUUUUUAAAAUAUCAGUUUGCAUGUACUCUUUAUGAAAGAUUCCCUCCUCAAGACUUUUUAGGAAGGAGGCAGAGUAUAAAUAAAUAGAGACAAUCUUUUAUCUCCCUUAUUUGUUGUCAGUAUUUCUUCCCAUUUGCCCCUUUUCAGUCUUUUUGUUAAAUGCAGAAAAUGUAAUUUCUCUGUAGUCAAACCUGCUAAUCUUCCAUUUGUGAUUUUAUCGAUGAUUCCAAGUUUAAGAAAGACAUUCUCCCUCCAGAGGUUUGUUGAAUGUUUCUCUUCUAGUUUCUUUAUGGCAAAAACCAUCACAAUAUUGUAAAGUAAUUAGC